rnacentral:rRNA from 1 species
UACGGAGGGAGCUAGCGUUAUUCGGAAUUACUGGGCGUAAAGCGUCUGUAGGUGGCUUUUUAAGUCCGCCGUCAAAUCCCAGGGCUCAACCCUGGACAGGCGGUGGAAACUACCAAGCUGGAGUACGGUAGGGCAGAGGGAAUUUCCGGUGGAGCGGUGAAAUGCGUAGAGAUCGGAAAGAACACCAACGGCGAAAGCACUCUGCUGGGCCGACACUGACACUGAGAGACGAAAGCUAGGGGAGCGAAUGGG